AGUGAACGCUGGCGGCAGGCCUAACACAUGCAAGUCGAGCGGCAGCGGGUCCUUCGGGAUGCCGGCGAGCGGCGGACGGGUGAGGAAUACAUCGGAAUCUGCCCUGUCGUGGGGGAUAACCUAGGGAAACUUAGGCUAAUACCGCAUACGACCUACGGGUGAAAGCGGGGGAUCGCAAGACCUCGCGCGACAGGAUGAGCCGAUGUCCGAUUAGCUAGUUGGCGGGGUAAAGGCCCACCAAGGCGACGAUCGGUAGCUGGUCUGAGAGGAUGAUCAGCCACACUGGGACUGAGACACGGCCCAGACUCCUACGGGAGGCAGCAGUGGGGAAUAUUGGACAAUGGGCGCAAGCCUGAUCCAGCCAUGCCGCGUGGGUGAAGAAGGCCUUCGGGUUGUAAAGCCCUUUUGUCCGGGAAGAAAUCGUCUGGGCUAAUACCCCGGGCGGAUGACGGUACCGGAAGAAUAAGCUCCGGCUAACUUCGUG
rnacentral:rRNA from 1 species